rnacentral:tRNA from 2 species
GCCCAUGUAGCUCAGUCGGUAGAGCACUUUCUUGGUAAGAAAGGGGUCAUCAGUUCAAGUCUGAUCAUGGGCU